rfam:Schistosoma mansoni strain Puerto Rico chromosome 1, complete genome
GACCUUCUGAAUCCGUGACGAGAUUUCGUCAGACACUAGACCAUCAAUAUUGAUGAAACUCCCAAGAUAAAUGAAGUG